AUGUCCUCUCAUGCAGUCCUCACUGUGGCUGAUUCCAGUUGCACGCGCGCCAGUGGGCUAGAAUGUUCUGCCUGCUGUCCGCCCUUCCGGGUAUACCUGUGCGCAGACUCAGUGAUGAUGGCUGCCUUGCCUGGGGGCAGGUGGUUCCCCCGUGACCUUUCAUCUGCAUUUGUCAGGAAACAGACGCUAGGGGGGAUGAUUCCCUGUGGUUCUACCCUUUUCCUCUUACGAUGUGGGCUAAAUUUUGAACCCCACUUCAAGUGCAGAAGGGCUGAGAGGAGCUACUCCAUGUUCAAUGUCAAGAGGGUGGUCAUAGCUUUUCUUCCAAGGAGAAAAGUUUCUAAUUUUGUGGCUGCAGUCACCAUCUGCAGUGGUUUUAGAGACCAAGAAAACAAAGUCUAUUACUGUUUCCACUGUUUCCCCAUCUAUUUGCCAUGAAGUGAUGGGACCGGAUGCCAUGAUCUUAGUUUUCUGAAUGUUGAGCUUUAAGCCAACAUUUUCACUCUCCUCUUUCACUUUCAUCAAGAGCUCUUU
rnacentral:lncRNA from 1 species